AUUAUUUAGCUUAAUGGUUAUGUAUUAGCUUAGUUUGGGGACAAAAUGCUGAUGAAUAAAUGCUAUAAAUGCUGAUUGUUGUUUGAUUUUACUGUACUCGAGACACAGGUGUGUACAAUUUCCAUUAAAAACAUUUGAGUUUGAAGGCAGUGAAUGAAAGUCAGUCCUAUAUGGGUUUUAAAGUAAACAAUUUCGCUUGCUGUCCAUAACGGCUCAAGAAUUGCAUAUCCACCCCUGACCAAAGGAGUGAGAUAUGUUAGAAAUAAAGGUGGAGUUCAGGUUGAAGAAUUGUCAUGGGAGACAGGUACGCACCGCUCAUGUAUUCUUGAGUUGUGAUUGCAAGACUUAACCAAUCAGACUCUUGACCAUGGUCAUUGGGACAUACUCGCUGCAUUCUAGAACAUCGCCAUGACAAAUAUCUGAAGGUUAUGUCACUGGAGCAUUAUUUGGUACAUCGUUGCAACGGAUAUAGUUUGGUCCGGUUAAAUUUCACAAAGUAACCGUUUUAGCUGGGUUUAGGUCAGGGCUCACACUUUAUGUCGCCUGUUUCUGUUGUAAAUUCUUAAACAAUUAGCAAAUUAGUAAACCAAAUGACAAGCCUGUUAAAAGUUGGCUAGCUAACUAAAGUUCAUUAAAUGGAAAUGUGUAACACUUGCUCCACGUGUUAGUGUUGUGGAAUCUUCUUCAGCAAAAAGCACUCUAAGAGUCUCGGUGUCUUGAUGUCAAAAGAUAGACUUUAUUUAUUCAAACAUCAAAGCUGAACUGGUCUUCAGAUCAACACCUUGCUUAUCCUAGAUACAUGCCUUUAUACAAUUCUAGAACUCUGAUCUCGUGUUUCCUUUUUUAAUUUUAUUUAUUCAGUUUGUGCAGAAGUUUGUAGUCUUAUCUCUGAGAGCUCCAGAGCCAGGGUGCUAUAAACAUUCUGCCACUUUGGGCAAUAAUCAUAUUUUUAGGUCUUUUCUCUUCAUAAACACACAUACAGUGGGGGAAAUAAAAUAAAAUAUUGAACGCAUCAACAUUUUAUUCAGUAAAUGUAUUUCCACUGAGGUUAUUAACAUUCAAUAUUCAUGUAUUAGCUCAGUAAAUCUGCAACUCUAAAAUAUUCACAACAUUAACAUCCAGAAAUAAAGUUAUGUGUAAUAAAGAGGAAUGACACAGGAAAAAAGUAUGCAACACGCUAACUGAAAUUUAUUUAAUACUUAGUGGAGAAUCCUUUGUUUGUAAUGACAGUUUCAAGAUGCUUCCUGUAUGAAGAAAUUAAUGGGCCGCAGUAUUCAGGUGUGAUUUUUGUCCAUUAUUCUACACAUAUUGUCUUUUAAUCUUGUUCAAUUGUAUUCAAGUCAGGUGAUUGACUGGGCCAUUCUAACACCUUGAUUUUUUUUUUCUCUGAAACCAAUUGAGAGUUUCCUUUGCUGUAUGCUUUGGAUCGUUGUCCUGUCUCAUCUUCAUCAUCCUGGUGGAUGGCAGCAGAUUAUUCUCAAGAAUCUCCCGAUGUACCACUGCUCAGAUUGUGGGAAGAGUUUUAAUAAAAGUCAUCAUCACGAGUGCAUUCACACAAGAGAGAAGCCGUAUCACUGUGAACUGUGUGGGAAGAGUUUUACUGUUCAGAGUUCUCUCCAACGACAUGAGCGCAUUCACACAGGUGAAAAGCCGUAUCACUGCUCCCAGUGUGGGAAGAGUUUUAGUGUUCAGAGUACUUUGCAAAUGCACGAGCACAUUCACACAGGUGAAAAGCCAUAUCAUUGUGGACAGUGUGAGAAGAGUUUUACUUGCCAGCGUAAUCUCCGACAACACGAGCGCAUUCACACAGGAGAGAAACCGUAUCAUUGUGGACAGUGUGGGAAGAGUUUUACUUGCCAGCCUAAUCUUCAACGUCAUAAGCGCAUUCACACAGGACAGAAGCCGUAUCAAUGUGGACAGUGUGGGAAGAAUUUUACUUGUCACCGUAAUCUCCAACGUCAUAAGCGCAUUCAUACAGGAGAGAAGCCGUAUUACUGUGGACAGUGUGGGAAUAGAUUUACUUGCCAGCGUAAUCUCCAACAGCAUGAGCGCAUCCACACAGGAGAGAAGCCGUAUUACUGUGGACAGUGUGGGAAUAGAUUUACUUGCCAGCGUAAUCUCCAACAACAUGAGCGCAUUCACACGGGAGAGAAGCCGUAUCUCUGUGAACUCUGUGGGAAAAGUUUUACUUGCCAGCGUUAUCUCCAACAGCAUGAGCGCGUUCACACAGGAGAGAAGCCCUAUCACUGUGGACAGUGUGGGAAGAGUUUUAUUUGCCAGAGUAAUCUCCAAAGACAUGAGCGCAUUCACACAGGAGAGAAGCCUUAUUACUGUUCGCAGUGUGGGAAGAGUUUUACCCAACAGUGUACUCUUCAACAACAUGAGCACAUUCACACAGGACAGAAGCCAUACUUCUGUGGACAGUGUGGGAAGAGUUUCAUUCGUCAGAGUCAACUCCAACGACACGAGCGCAUUCACACAGGACAAAAGCCAGAGAAGCCGUAUCACUGUGAACUGUGUGGGAAGAGUUUUACUGUUCAGAGUUCUCUCCAACGACAUGAGCGCAUUCACACAGGUGAAAAGCCAUAUCACUGUGGACAGUGUGAGAAGAGUUUUACUCGUCAGAGUCAUCUCCGACAACACGAGCGCAUUCACACAGGAGAGAAGCCGUAUCAUUGUGGACAGUGUGGGAAGAGUUUUACUCAUCACAGUACUCUCCAACAACACAAGCACAUUCACACAGGAGAGAAGCCAUAUCAAUGUGGACAGUGUGGGAAGAGUUUUACUUACCAGCCUAAUCUUCAACGACACAAGCGCAUUCACACAGGACAGAAGCGGUAUCACUGUGGACAGUGUGGGAAGAGUUUUACUUACCAGCCUAAUUUUCAACGACACAAGCGCAUUCACAAAGGAGAGAAGCCAUAUUACUGUGAACUGUGUGGGAAUAGUUUUGCUUGCCAGCGUAAUCUACAAGAGCAUGAGCGCAUUCACACAGGAGAGAAGCCAUAUCACUGUGAACUCUGUGGGAAGAGUUUUACUUGCCAGCGCUAUCUCCAGCAGCAUGAGCGUGUUCACACAGGAGAGAAGCCAUAUCAUUGUGGACAGUGUGGGAAGAGUUUUACUUGCCAGAGUAAUCUCCAAAUACAUGAGCGCAUUCACACAGGAGAGAAGCCGUAUUACUGCUCGCAGUGUGGGAAGCGUUUUGCUCAACAGCCUAAUCUUCAACGACACGAGCGUAUUCACACAGGACAAAAGCCGUACUUCUGUGGACAGUGUGGGAAGAGUUUCAUUCGUCAGAGUCAACUCCAACGACACGAGCGCAUUCACACAGGACAAAAGCCAUACUUAUGUGGACAAUGUGGGCGUAGCUAUACUAAUUCAAGCUGAUUGGUGUAUCACGAGCGCAUUCACACAGGAGAGAAGCCAUUCGACUGCUCCCAGUGUGGGAAGAGUUUUACUCAUCAGAGUACUCUCCAACAACAUGAGCGCAUUCACACAGGAGAAAAGCCAUAUUACUGCUCCCAGUGUGGGAAGAGUUUUAAUAAAAGUCAUCAUCUCAAAGAUCAUGAGCGCAUUCACACAGGAGAGAAGCCGUAUGACUGCUUCCAGUGUGGGAAGAGUUUUACUCGUCAUAGUCAUCUCCAACUACAUGAGCGUAUUCAUACAGGAGAGAAGCCGUAUCAUUGUGGACAGUGUGGGAAGAGUUUUACUCGUCAGAGUCAUCUCCGACUACAUGAGCGCACUCACACAGGAGAGAAGCCGUAUCACUGUGGACAGUGUGGGAAGAGUUUUACUCGUCAGAGUCAUCUCCAACGACAUGAGCGCAUUCACACAGGAGAGAAACCGUAUCACUGUGGACAGUGUGGGAAGAGUUUUUCUCGUCAGAGUAAUCUCCGACUACAUGAGCGUGUUCACACAGGACAGAAGCCAUAUUACUGUGGACAUUGUGGAAAGAGUUUUGCUUGCCAGCGUAAUCUCCAAAUACACAAGCGCAUUCAUACAGGAGAGAAGCCUCAUCACUGUGGACAGUGUGAGAAGAGUUUUUCCCAACUAAGUAAUCUCCAACGACAUGAGCGUGUUCACACAGGAGAGAAGUUGUAUCAUUGUGGACAGUGUGGGAAGAGUUUUACUUGCCAGAGUAAUCUCCAAAUACACAAGCGCAUUCACACAGGAGAGAAGCCGUAUCUCUGUGGACAGUGUGAGAAGAGUUUUACUUGUCAGAGUCAUCUCAAACGACAUGAGCGCAUUCACACAGGAGAGAAGCCAUAUCACUGCUCGCACUGUGGGAAGAGUUUUAUUCGUCAGAGUCAUCUCCAACGACAUGAGCGAAUUCACACAGGAGAGAAGCCGUAUCACUGCUCACAGUGUGGGAAGAGGUUUCGUGACCAGAGGGCCUUCCACAGCCACCAGCAGAGUCAUACGGGACAGAAGCUGUACCUCUGCGGACAUUGUGGGCGGAGCUAUACUUAUUCAAGUUCAUUAAGGACACACACGUGCUCUAACAUAAAGCCAUCAGAUUUAACCAUUUGAAUUUGUCAAAUUAAGAUAAAUUUUUUAAAGGGAGGUAAAGAGUCAUUCAUAUUAUAUUAUUUGUCAUGGACUGUAGUAUUCUGUUGAAUGGGCUUUUAUUGCUUACUCUCUGGAUUUUAGCAAAAUUCAUGAUUUUAUGUUUUCCUGUUUUUCCCCAACACUACAAUACCAAGUAUGGAAUACAUAUAUUUAACCAGUGGAAAUGCCCACUUUAAUCGACCAAUCCAGACAGCUGAGUGAGACACAUGACUCUAACUUCUCCCUCUAACAUAACUUUCAUUUUAAAUGAUUUUUAAAUACAAACUAGAAUUUGCUUUAUAAAAUAUCGCGUUGUGUUUACAGGCAAUUUGAAGAGAGAAUUCUUGUACAAGUUACUCCAUCUUUGCAGCGUCCAUUUAAUUAUAGCUAACUACAAUGUAUGGCCAAAAGCAUGGGGAUGCCUGACGACCACACCCAUAUAUACCUUUUGAACAUCCUCUGAUGGAACUGCAUCCAAUCCAUGGUCCCUUGAGCCCAGUGUUCCUGAUCUAGUUUUCAGCUUUACUGCAACCCUGACCAGGAUAACACAGUUACACAGUAAGAUCAAUGAAUGGAUUUUUGUUGUAUAUAUGUUCCUAUAAGAAGUAAGAAAAUGUUUGUAUGACCCGAAAGUCUUAGAAUUUUUUUAGUAAAUCACAUGUUUAAUAAUACACCAAGUUUAUACUUUCCUUAUUAAUCAACAAAAAUUCUCCAUAAUGCAAAACUUAAAUGAGUUUUCUCAUUGUUGUGUAAUUUCCUUUUAAAAAUGUGAAAUGUUACAUUUAUAAAUCUUCAGAUGCUUUGCUUUGAUACUCACAGAUUAGCUCAUAUAUAUUAAUCAUCCUUCAGGUUCUCCAACUUGAAUAAAGUUUACAUGUGGGAAAUUU